UAUAUCGAACAGCCCUACGUCAGAUAAAACUACAUUUAUAUUUUUAAGUUUAAGGCUUGUCUUAUAAUUGUUAACAAAAUUGUAGUUCUGUCAAAACAAAACUGUGAAGAUGUUUUCAGAAACCUAACACAGCAUCUGAAAAUGAAGAAGCUAAGUGGUGAAAUUCUCGUUUCUGGAGCUUUCCUGCUGGCUGCUAGCACAUUAAAUGGACUAUUAUGUUUAAUGUAAAUCCACCAGGGGAAACGCCUACAAUGGGUACUGAUCUACACCGCAACAGACAUUUCUACUGCAUUUUUGAACUCGAUUUCUCCUCAGCUGGACUGCAGUGGAACAACUGAGAUCAAACAAUGAAGAAGGAGCAGAAAUGCAGAAAAUACACAGUGGAGGACAAGGAGGUCAACAUAACUUUGACCAAACAGAGUGUUUAGUCUCUUUGGAAACUUUUACAACUUUUUUAGAAAUUCAAGUUCAAAACCAACCCAGUAUUGAGGAUUGUAGUUGAUUAAUUAAUCCCAGCUAAACAUUACUGGACGUGUAGCUCUUCCUCUCUCUCUAUAAAAACACCAGCAGUAUAAAACAGCAGAACCAGUUUGUCUGUACCCAAUGAGGCGAAUAAACAAAAUACCACCUCUCC